rnacentral:misc_RNA from 1 species
GUGAGUCAUCGAAUCUUUGAACGCAUAUUGCGCUCUCUGGCAUUCCGGAGAGCAUGCCUGUUUGAGUAUUGGCCUAAAUGAGAGUCUUCCUUUAAAGAUAUAAAAAAGAACGUUAAGAACCCUCAGUUGAGACUUCUCGACAAUUCAUUGGCGAGUGUUUUAAAAUGCAAUAGUACCGCCACGUUUGCGAACUUGGAGUAAUAUGUGAGCCUGAAAAGGUGACCUCUAUUCUCCUCGGACCAUGUAGACCUGUUAAGCGGGAAGUUUUUGAAUGCCGAAUUACGGGAGACGGUGUUCAAU